UAACAUUUUAAGUUUGGUUUCAAAUAGAUGUUAAUGAUGCAUAUAUUCUUCUCAGCUAAACAGAUUCAGAGAUGGCUGAUGGUGGCUGCUGCUCAAAGGAGUCAUCCAGAAGGAAGCUGCGAAUCAUUCCCCAACAUGAUGCAGAGAAAUAUAUACAACUUCAAGCUGACAAGCCUGGUCUCAGAGAGGCAUUUGUGAACUCUCACAAAGGGCGAGGUGUUUUUGCUUCAAAACCUUUUAGCAAAGGAGAUUUCAUCGUGGAGUACAGAGGGAAACUUCUUAGUCAAGACAGUCUUUCAGUCAUUGAGACCUACAGUGAGACCCAAGCAGCAUACCUCUUUGAUUUUCAAUGGAAUGGGAAAAUGUGGUGCCUUGAUGCAUCUCUGGAGGACCACUCACUUGGGAGACUAGUCAAUGAUGAGCACAAGAAUCCAAACUGCAAAAUGCGGACAGUCCAAG